UACGGAGAGGGCUAGCGUUGUUCGGAAUUACUGGGCGUAAAGCGCACGUAGGCGGCUUUGCAAGUUAGAGGUGAAAGCCCGGGGCUCAACUCCGGAAUUGCCUUUAAAACUGCAUCGCUAGAAUUGUGGAGAGGUAAGUGGAAUUCCGCGUGUAGCAGUGAAAUGCGUAGAGAUGCGGAGGAACACCGAUGGCGAAGGCAGCCCCCUGGGCUAACACUGACGCUCAGGCACGAAAGCGUGGGGAGCAAACAGG
rnacentral:rRNA from 1 species